AGUCUUAACUGGGCGUCUAGUUGCAAGGUAUAGACCCGAAACCCGGUGAUCUAGCCAUGGGCAGGUUGAAGGUUGGGUAACACUAACUGGAGGACCGAACCGACUAAUGUUGAAAAAUUAGCGGAUGACUUGUGGCUGGGGGUGAAAGGCCAAUCAAACCGGGAGAUAGCUGGUUCUCCCCGAAAGCUAUUUAGGUAGCGCCUCGUGAACUCAUCUUCGGGGGUAGAGCACUGUUUCGGCUAGGGGGCCAUCCCGGCUUACCAAACCGAUGCAAACUCCGAAUACCGAAGAAUGUUAUCACGGGAGACACACGGCGGGUGCUAACGUCCGUCGUGAAGAGGGAAACAACCCAGACCGCCAGCUAAGGUCCCAAAGUCAUGGUUAAGUGGGAAACGAUGUGGGAAGGCACAGACAGCCAGGAUGUUGGCUUAGAAGCAGCCAUCAUUUAAAGAAAGCGUAAUAGCUCACUGGUCGAGUCGGCCUGCGCGGAAGAUGUAACGGGGCUAAACCAUGCACCGAAGCUGCGGCAGCGACACUUAGGUGUUGUUGGGUAGGGGAGCGUUCUGUAAGCCGUUGAAGGUGACCUGUGAGGGUUGCUGGAGGUAUCAGAAGUGCGAAUGCUGACAUAAGUAACGAUAAUGCGGGUGAAAAACCCGCACGCCGGAAGACCAAGGGUUCCUGUCCAACGUUAAUCGGGGCAGGGUGAGUCGACCCCUAAGGCGAGGCUGAAAAGCGUAGUCGAUGGGAAACAGGUUAAUAUUCCUGUACUUGGUGUUACUGCGAAGGGGGGACGGAGAAGGCUAGGCUGGCCGGGCGACGGUUGUCCCGGUUUAAGCGUGUAGGGGGAGUGACCAGGUAAAUCCGGUUGCUUAUCAACCUGAGGCGUGAUGACGAUGCACCACGGUGCAGAAGCAGUUGAUGCCAUGCUUCCAGGAAAAGCCUCUAAGCAUCAGGUAACAUUAAAUCGUACCCCAAACCGACACAGGUGGUCAGGUAGAGAAUACUCAGGCGCUUGAGAGAACUCGGGUGAAGGAACUAGGCAAAAUGGUGCCGUAACUUCGGGAGAAGGCACGCUGGCGUUAGGUGAAAGGACUAGCUCCUGGAGCUGAAGCCAGUCGCAGAUACCAGCUGGCUGCAACUGUUUAAUAAAAACACAGCACUGUGCAAACACGAAAGUGGACGUAUACAGUGUGACGCCUGCCCGGUGCUGGAAGGUUAAUUGAUGGGGUCAGCCGCAAGGCGAAGCUCUUGAUCGAAGCCCCAGUAAACGGCGGCCGUAACUAUAACGGUCCUAAGGUAGCGAAAUUCCUUGUCGGGUAAGUUCCGACCUGCACGAAUGGCGUAAUGAUGGCCAGGCUGUCUCCACCCGAGACUCAGUGAAAUUGAACUCGCUGUGAAGAUGCAGUGUACCCGCGGCAAGACGGAAAGACCCCGUGAACCUUUACUAUAGCUUGACACUGAACAUUGAGCCUUGAUGUGUAGGAUAGGUGGGAGGCCUUGAAGUGUGGACGCCAGUCUGCAUGGAGCCAACCUUGAAAUACCACCCUUUAAUGUUUGAUGUUCUAACUCGGCCCCAUGAUCUGGGGUGAGGACAGUGUCUGGUGGGUAGUUUGACUGGGGCGGUCUCCUCCCAAAGAGUAACGGAGGAGCACGAAGGUUAGCUAAUCACGGUCGGACAUCGUGAGGUUAGUGCAAAGGCAUAAGCUAGCUUGACUGCGAGAGUGACGGCUCGAGCAGGUACGAAAGUAGGUCUUAGUGAUCCGGUGGUUCUGAAUGGAAGGGCCAUCGCUCAACGGAUAAAAGGUACUCCGGGGAUAACAGGCUGAUACCGCCCAAGAGUUCAUAUCGACGGCGGUGUUUGGCACCUCGAUGUCGGCUCAUCACAUCCUGGGGCUGAAGUAGGUCCCAAGGGUAUGGCUGUUCGCCAUUUAAAGUGGUACGCGAGCUGGGUUUAGAACGUCGUGAGACAGUUCGGUCCCUAUCUGCCGUGGGCGUUGGAAGAUUGAGAGGGGCUGCUCCUAGUACGAGAGGACCGGAGUGGACGAAUCACUGGUGUUCGGGUUGUCAUGCCAAUGGCAUUGCCCGGUAGCUAAAUUCGGAAGAGAUAACCGCUGAAAGCAUCUAAGCGGGAAACUUGCCUCGAGAUGAGUCUUCCCUGGGGCUUAAAGCCCCCUGAAGGAACGUUAAAGACUAUGACGUUGAUAGGCUGGGUGUGUAAGUGCAGCGAUGUAUUGAGCUAACCAGUACUAAUGAUCCGUGAGGCUUAACCUUACAACACCGAAGGUGUUU
rnacentral:rRNA from 1 species